rnacentral:rRNA from 1 species
AUGAACGCUGGCGGCGUGCCUAAUACAUGCAAGUCGAGCGAACGGACGAGAAGCUUGCUUUUCUGAUGUUAGCGGCGGACGGGUGAGUAACACGUGGAUAACCUACCUAUAAGACUGGGAUAACUUCGGGAAACCGGAGCUAAUACCGGAUAAUAUUUUGAACCGCAUGGUUCAAAAGUGAAAGACGGUCUUGCUGUCACUUAUAGAUGGAUCCGCGCUGCAUUAGCUAGUUGGUAAGGUAACGGCUUACCAAGGCAACGAUGCAUAGCCGACCUGAGAGGGUGAUCGGCCACACUGGAACUGAGACACGGUCCAGACUCCUACGGGAGGCAGCAGUAGGGAAUCUUCCGCAAUGGGCGAAAGCCUGACGGAGCAACGCCGCGUGAGUGAUGAAGGUCUUCGGAUCGUAAAACUCUGUUAUUAGGGAAGAACAUAUGUGUAAGUAACUGUGCGCAUCUUGACGGUACCUAAUCAGAAAGCCACGGCUAACUACGUG